UAAAAAUGUUAAUUUUCUGAUUUCAGACAAAGMUGGUGCUGUGUUAGAGGAAAGAGGUGACUACCAACCUGUUAUCACAGACAGGAAUUGCUGCACAUGAAAGUUGAAAUCGGCACAGGCUUGGUACAGCCUGUCUACUGCAAGGAAUUCAAAGCAUCUAGCAAUCUUACCAUCAACUUGACCAGAGACCUUAUCAUCCGAUG